AGUGAACGCUGGCGGUAGGCCUAACACAUGCAAGUCGAACGGCAGCACAGUAAGAGCUUGCUCUUACGGGUGGCGAGUGGCGGACGGGUGAGGAAUACAUCGGAAUCUACUUUUUCGUGGGGGAUAACGUAGGGAAACUUACGCUAAUACCGCAUACGACCUACGGGUGAAAGCAGGGGAUCUUCGGACCUUGCGCGAUUGAAUGAGCCGAUGUCGGAUUAGCUAGUUGGCGGGGUAAAGGCCCACCAAGGCGACGAUCCGUAGCUGGUCUGAGAGGAUGAUCAGCCACACUGGAACUUGGACACGGUCCAGACUCCUACGGGAGGCAGCAGUGGGGAAUAUUGGACAAUGGGCGCAAGCAUGAUCCAGCCAUACCGCGUGGGUGAAGAAGGCCUUCGGGUUGUAAAGCCCUUUUGUUGGGAAAGAAAAGCAGCAGGUUAAUACCCCGCUGUUCUGACGGUACCCAAAGAAUAAGCACCGGCUAACUUCGUG
rnacentral:rRNA from 1 species